rnacentral:lncRNA from 1 species
AUGCUUCCCGCGUGGGCUCAGGAGCGCCUCUUUCCCACCCAGGUGACUGGCAGCGGCCCGAUGCGCCCGUCUACUUCCUGCUCGGCCUUGGCCUCCUCCUGCUCCUGCUGGCGCUGGCCUUCGCCCUCCUCAAGAGGGCGCGGAGCAGCUGCGAGGCCAGCAUCCCCACGCCGGCCGCCUUCUUCCAGCCUCUCUACCUCGCUCACCGCGGGGACUUCAAGGGCUGGGCCGGGCUGGCCCCGGAGGGAGAGCCGCCUAUGGCGAGGGCGGCGGCGGCGGCGGCGGUUUCUCGGCUCUCCUUCCUGCAGCCGCCCAGCUGCGACGGGUCGGGGCCAGCCAAGCGCCGCGCCUCCCCGCCGGGCCAAGAGCCCGAGCGCCCGCCCGGCGACUACUGCACCCUCGGCGGGGCGGGCGAAGGGGCGGCCCCCCUGCCCUCCGACUGGCCGCCGCCUCCCGGCGCCCGCUCGAGACCUCCGCCCGGCUGGCUUCCCGUCCGCGGCCAAGGCCGAGCCCAGGAGCCGCCCGGCGGCCCCGCCGCUCUGGGAGGGCCGCUCCGGGACUGCGGCUCGGGCGGGGAGGCGCGGCCGAUGCGGCCUCUCUUCGUCUGAGGCUGCCGAGAAACGGGAAGCGCGGCGUUGGCAAAGCCGGUCCGUGACGGUCAAUGGAAGGCGACGUUGGCCCCGAUGCAUCGCUUGCCUUUAUAAAAUAAAUAAAAUAAAUGUUGCAUCCGUUGGUUUUUGGACGUGUGUGUGUGUGUG